UGCCGUCACGCCAGCCCGAGCCGCGGGUGCCGACGCCGCCUCUCCUCCGCCAGCUCUCACUGGGUCCAAGCGCUCCGCCGUCCGCGCGCCGCCGCACCACGCUCGCGCCGGCCUAUCGUGCAACACGACUGCGCCUCACGGCUCGGGAUGAACAAUUAAAGGUAUGUUGUUUCCUUUGUACAGGACCCUGAUGGCGUCAUGUGUUUGAGCUCAUUCAGAGGGUGAAGACACCUCAGCCUCUUAGACAAGUCAAGCUUCAUACUGCAGAUAAGACACUUGUAAAUGUGUCCAUAGAAACUGGAUACUCUUCCGAGCUCUGAACAGUAAAUAAUUCCAUCCACACUGUUUCAGGUGCUCUUAUGCAGGCAAGAGGUGGCUAGCCCUGCCAGUGGAUAUCUCGCGGAUGUUGGAACUGAGCCAAGUGCUGAUAACUAUGGUCUUCAACACUAAGAAGGUGGGGGAAUCCUGAAGAUUGAAUAUUUCAUUAUUUCUAUUGGUAAAUGAGAUCAUGUGGUCCAAUGAGAAAAUUUGAUAGUUAUUAGAUAAAGAUAAAUCUGGUUGCAUGGUGAGCUUGGACACGAGUUUGCUAUUUAGUUCAUGUGGUCCAAUGCAUACAAAUUGACAAUGCAUAAUUACUCAUUUGUUUA